rnacentral:rRNA from 1 species
CUGUCGAGCGAACUUGUUCGCGAAGCAAUCGGAAGUGGUUCCAAGAAAAGCCUCUAAGCUUCAGUCUAACGAGACCGUACCGCAAACCGACACAGGUGGGCGAGAUGAGUAUUCUAAGGCGCUUGAGAGAACUCGGGAGAAGGAACUCGGCAAAUUUGUACCGUAACUUCGGGAUAAGGUACGCCCCUGGUAGUUUGACUGGCCUGCGCCAGGAGGACGAAAGGGCUGCAAUAAAAAGGUGGCUGCGACUGUUUAAUAAAAACACAGCACUAUGCAAACACGAAAGUGGACGUAUAUGGUGUGACUCCUGCCCGGUGCUGGAAGAUUAAAUGAUGGGGUGCAAGCUCUUGAUUGAAGUCCCAGUAAACGGCGGCCGUAACAAUAACGGUCCUAAGGUAGCGAAAUUCCUUGUCGGGUAAGUUCCGACCUGCACGAAUGGAGUAACGAUGGCCACACUGUCUCCUCCCGAGACACAGCGAAGUUGAAAUGUUUGUGAUGAUGCAAUCUACCCGCGGCUAGACGGAAAGACCCCAUGAACCUUUACUGUAGCUUUGCAUUGAAUUUUGAACCAAUCUGUGUAGGAUAGGUGGGAGGCUUUGAAGCGUGAACGCUAGUUUGCGUGGAGCCAACCUUGAAAUACCACCCUGGUUUGUUUGAGAUUCUAACCUUGGACCGUUAUCCGGUUCGGGGACAGUGCAUGGUGGGCAGUUUGACUGGGGCGGUCUCCUCCUAAAGUGUAACGGAGGAGUUCGAAGGUACGCUAGGUACGGUCGGACAUCGUGCUAAUAGUGCAAUGGCAUAAGCGUGCUUAACUGCGAGACUGACAAGUCGAGCAGGUACGAAAGUAGGACAUAGUGAUCCGGUGGUUCUGUAUGGAAGGGCCAUCGCUCAACGGAUAAAAGGUACUCUGGGGAUAACAGGCUGAUUCCUCCCAAGAGUUCAUAUCGACGGGGGAGUUUGGCACCUCGAUGUCGGCUCAUCACAUCCUGGGGCUGUAGCCGGUCCCAAGGGUAUGGCUGUUCGCCAUUUAAAGUGGUACGUGAGCUGGGUUUAAAACGUCGUGAGACAGUUUGGUCCCUAUCUGCCGUGGGCGUUGGAAAUUUGAAGGGGGCUGCUCCUAGUACGAGAGGACCGGAGUGGACGAACCUCUGGUGUACCGGUUGUCACGCCAGUGGCAUUGCCGGGUAGCUAAGUUCGGAAGAGAUAACCGCUGAAAGCAUCUAAGCGGGAAACUUGCCUUGAGAUGAGAUUUCCCGGGAACUAGAUUCCCCUAAAGGGUCGUUCGAGACCAGGACGUUGAUAGGUCAGGUGUGGAAGUG